rnacentral:misc_RNA from 1 species
AAGAGUAAGGGUCUCCGGGCCCGAUCUCCAACCCUAUGUUUAACUACCAUGUUGCUUUGGCGGGCCCGUCUCACGACCGCCGGAAGUUUUGGUUUCGACCGGACUUCUGGCCCGUGCCCGUCAGUGGCCCCUUCAAAUUCUUGAUCAAGUAUGAUGUCUUAGUUAUAAACUUAAUAGUUA